CAUGAGGGCAAGUUUAUCCCCUCUGUUUUGUUCAUCGACGUAUCCCAUGCUUCAGGAACUGCACCUGGCAUACAGUAGAUGCUCAAUAAAUGCCAACCGAAUGGAGGAAAGAUGAUCUCAGUGCUCACUGUCGCCCAAGAGGAAGGUGUCCUUACUCCCAGGUUACAGUGGUUCCUUUUCUCCUCCCCUGCUGGAAGCACACGGGGAUUUUCCCUCCAAUAUUCACUUGUGAGAGCAGAUUGGGGACCUGGAGGUAAAGUUCACAAACAGGCAAGACUCCGGCCUCCAUGACCUCCCCUGAGUGCCAAAGGGAAGGUUCGAACAGCUGCUAAUCAAGGGAGGAGCGGCCAAGGCUAGGAGGCGAGAUCACAGGGACCCGAGAAGCUCAGCAAGGCCUCGCGCCUGAGACCCCGCGGCCCCUCAUCUUGUCAGCAACCCCGCCCUUGGGAGAAGGUGAGUCCCAAUUAAGGAGAAAACAAGCCACGAUCCUGCUGCGGAAGCUUCCCGCGUUGGGAGGCAGUGGGAGGCUUGGGGUCCUGUCCAGCCCUGGCAGGCCAGGUGUGAAGA